UGUAUCGGGAAAAAUUAGUCGAUAAUUCUAGGAGCUAAAAUAGAAAAAAGAAAAAAAAAAAAGCCUGGCGCACAGGACACACUUCACAAUUUUUAAGUGAAUUGAACAAAGCUUUUAUUGCCAAGGAUGACCUUUCACCAGAUGGGCCUUCAUCCCCAACGUGCAGGAGGAAAUCUUGCUGGCACCCUACAGACAAGGAAUAUCGAAACAGCUUCUCAGAGGUAUUCAAAUGCAACAAUACCAUCAUUCAGGACUUCUGGCUCCCAGAGGACUCGUCUGAGGCAAGGCCAACACAUACCCUUAUGGAAUCAGACCUGCUUAAACACCCUGAGGAGCUGUUUUCCUUCAGCCUUUCUGAGCUGGGGGAGAGGAGGACAAUAUGGCUGAUACACCAGUGCCUUGUUGGAUCUGGCCACCAAAGAGAGCAUCCCCUACAUAGGGACUCCUUAGCAGACACACACCCAAAGCUUAGGUAUCGUCUCCGGCAGUGGGCAAAUAAUACCAAGGAACCUCCAGAAUGGGCCUUUCCAUACCACCCAGAAACUCAUGGUCACCCUCCCAUCACAGAUCAAAAGUUUAGCUAAGGAAGGACCACGGCACUUAUUUAUUUCAGCUUUCCUCACACCUCAGUCUUCCAUGUGGGGUCCCAAGACCAUUCUGAUAUCCCUGCCUCCCUAUGCUAUUUGCUACCCUGUGAUUUUUAGCUUCCUGGCCACCUCCAUGGUCUUCCCAUUCAUGUCUCACAGAAGUGGGGUGGCCAUCUUCUUCUGAACCAAACAAGCAAAUGGGGACAGAAGCAGAAGUGGUGAGUAAAGUAGGCAGGGAGAGAAUAUCCAGCAGGAAGGGAUGUAAGGCAAUUUGUCCCCUCACAGAGCAGCUAGCGAUUUGGUGUGGCCUACGCUGGUUGCUGCUGGCCUAAUCAAUAUGUGCUCCGUCUUAAUGAAACACCACUUUCUGGUCAAAGGGGUCAAGAGGCAUUUUUUUUUUUUUUAAUGCAGAGCAAUAAACACCAAGGAAAAUAGAAGCAUAUUCCCUUCCCACCAAACUCAGGCCCAAAGGCACAGCCUGCUCGCAAAAGUGGAUUCACGAACUUCCAGGUAGGCGUCCAGUGAGUCUUCGAUGGAAAGUUCAUCCUUCCCAUUAACUCGGAUGGAAAAAAUGAGCCCAAUGUUCUCGACCUUGAGCUGAAAAGUAGUAUGUACGGAACAAAAGAGGAGCCAGUAUCAAAGGUAAUCUUUGGCCAUACAGUAAUCAUGCUAAAAUAAAUACUACAUUAACAUCCA